GGGAGUGGCUGGGGUGAAGAGGCAUGGAGGCAAAGCUACUUCUGCAGGAGGGGAGGAAGACUCUCAGGGGGAAAAGACUGCCAGGGGCCUGGGAGUUCUGUUUUACAGAGCUUUCUGCUAUUUCCCCCAUGUGACCAGACAUCUGAAGAAAAAGAAACAGAUGGAUGUUUGCUAAAGGAUGGGCCUGAUGUCUGUGUUGCGAGACUCCCAGCCACGCUGGAGCCGGGAUCCCCAGACAAAUGAAAGCCAGCAGAUGGCAGCGAUUAUACAGAAGCUACUUUGCAGAGGAUAUUGGGGAUCAGCAGCCCACUCCGGACCUUGGACUCACCUUGAACUCACAGAUGAAAAGCAGAGGGAAGAAGAGUCCACAUCACCAUGCUGUGGUGGGUGCGAGCAGCCGGGCAGUCAAGACUGUGUGGUGGUUCUCAACGCUUUUGGCCUCAGGACCCUUUCACACUCUUAAGAACGUGAUCCAUAAGAGCGUCUCUGUGGCUAUAGAAACAUGACACCAGAAGUCGGGAGAACAAUGUGUGUGCGAGUGAGAGAGCUGUAAAGUCUCCUCGUAUUACUGAAUACUGAGGCUGCACAAGAAUUUCCUUCAGGGUAUCUCGUCUUCAUUUUCCCGUGUGUAUCUCUCAUCUUGUCUUUUCUAUCAGAAUGUGGGAUUCAUGUUGAAUUUUAUUAUAUCAUCUGGUGACAUUCCUCUGCUGAUUCUUUCUCCUCCCUUCCCCUUUACUUCUCACGUCUU